UCUUAUAUUAGGGACUUAGGGAUUUCACAGGAUGCUUUUUUUCUUUUCUUUUCUUUUCAGGGACAGCAUCACUUUUGCUCUGCUGCUCAGGCUGGAGGGCAGCAGCAUGACCUUGGCUCACUGCAGCCUCCACCUCCUGGGCUCAAGCAAUUCUCCCACCUCAGCCUCCUGAAUAGCUGGAGUCUCAAUAUGUUGCCCAGGCUGGUCUCAAACUCCUACCUCAACUGAUCUUCCAACCCCAGCCUUCCAAAGUGUUGGGAUUACAGGCACAAGCCACCGUGUCUGGCCAGGAUGCUUGUCUUAAAAACAAAGAUUUACUACCAGCAACCUGGCUGGCCCAAAAUGUGACUGGCAGCUUAUUUUAUAUUCCCCAUACACAUUAAAUGUAGAAAAUUAGUAACUAUUAGAUUUGAUUAAAUAUUAAAAUGUCAUAUUGUUCAGCCAAUGAACAAAUUGUUUUCAAGCUGCUCUGGGGGGAAUGACUAGCCUGCUACCUUUUUAUGGUGUUAGUUAUAUGGUAUUUUCUCUUCCUCCCUUCAUAGUAAAAAUCCUUGAAGGCUUACUCUCCUUGAGAACACUUCCUCAUGGGUUUUUGAAUCUCCAGCUCUUUCCUCUCCCAGAUUUUUACAAAGCCAAGUGGACUCUGUGUGCCUCUACUUCACUGCUACCGAGAGGUGAAGUCAGCUGGGCUUCUGGGUGGGGUGGAGACUUGGAGAACUUUUCUGUCUAGCUAGAGGAUUAUAAACACACCAAUCAGCACUCUGUAGAAAUGCACCAAUCAGCGCUCUGUGUCUAGCUAAAGGUUUGUAAACGCACCAAUCAGCACUCUGUAAAACGGACCAAUCAGCACUCUGUAAAAUGGACCAAUCAGCAGGACAUGGGCAGGGCCAAAAAAGGGAAUAAAAGCUGGCCACCUGCACCAGUAGCGGCAACUCCCUCAGGUCCCCUUCCAUGCUGUUGAGUUUUGUUGUUUCGCUCUUUGCAAUAAAUCUUACUGCUGUUCACUCUUUGGGUCCGCACUGCCUUUAUGAGCUGUAACACUCAAACUGCGAAGGUCUGUGGCUUCACUCCUGAAGUCAGUGAGACCAUGAACCCACCAGCAGGAAGAAAUUGGACACAUCUGAAGAAACAAACUCCAGACACACCAUCUUUAAGAGCUGUAACACUCACUGCAAAAGUCCGCGACUUCAUUCUUGAAGUCAGCGAGACCAAGAACCCACAGGAAGGAAUAAAUUCCAGACACACUACUACUGUCCCUGUUCAUUAAUCUAUUUAUUCGGCAAGAAAAUAUUGAUAACAGGCACUGUCCUGUGUACUAGAGAUGGACAGAAUCAUGACUUUUGGCUUCAGGGCCUCACAGUUCAGUUGGAGAGAGCAACAUGGCACCAGUUGAUUCCAGGGCAACACAAUUAGUGACAUAACAGAGACAGAUGAAAGGGAUUGCAGAAGCAGAGAGAGCAUCCUGACUAAUUGAAUCUGCAAAUGGUGAAGAAGCCCUUCCAGGGGUGAUGCUGUGAGCUGAAUUGUGUAUUAGUAGGAAUUUCUCGGUUCAACACACAGAGAAAUAACAAGUUUUCUGUUGUAAACUAUUCCUUACUAAUUAAAAACAAAGUGGUUAUAUUCUUGACCUGACUCUGAAUUUAAUUUUUUAAGAAUGUAAUCAUAAGUGAAGCAACUUUAAAUAUAGCAUUAUAGGGCACAGUAUUGAUAAAUGAGAGGAAAACUUUUUCUUAAAGAGUGUACCACUCACUUACCAUGCCCUGAAAUUAACUGAGAACUCAUUUGUCAAGAGAGCACCUACCCUAUAGAGAAUUCUUCCAAUUAACAUCAAAAGCGAUCAUUCUUAACCUCUCAUGCAUUAAGAAAAUCUUGUCUGCACCCAAUGUUCUGUUCAUAAUCAAUGAAGCCCCUUAUGUAUGUUAUUGCAAAUUUAUCACCUUGUAUAUUACUAAAAUGGA
rnacentral:lncRNA from 10 species